rnacentral:tRNA from 1 species
GCCCCUGUGGUGGAAUUGGUAGACGCGCUAGACUCAAAAUCUUGUAUCCGCAAGGGUGUGUCGGUUCGAGUCCGACCGGGGGCACCA